GACGAACGCUGGCGGCGUGCUUAACACAUGCAAGUCGAACGCUCUCGACCUUCGGGUCACAUGAGAGAGUGGCGAACGGGUGAGUAACACGUGAGGAACCUACCCCAAAGUCGGGAAUAACUCAGGGAAACCUGAGCUAAUACCGGAUGCCCUCCAGAGAUCGAAUGGUCAUUGGAGGAAAGAUUUAUCGCUUUGGGACGGCCUCGCGGCCUAUCAGCUAGUUGGUGAGGUAAUGGCUCACCAAGGCAUCGACGGGUAGCUGGUUUGAGAGAACGAUCAGCCACACUGGGACUGAGACACGGCCCAGACUCCUACGGGAGGCAGCAGUGGGGAAUCUUGCACAAUGGGCGAAAGCCUGAUGCAGCGACGCCGCGUGGGGGAGUGAAGGCCUUAGGGUCGUAAACCCCUUUCAGUAGGGACGAAAAUGACGGUACCUACAGAAGAAGCCCCGGCCAACUACGUGCCAGCAGCCGCGGUAAAG
rnacentral:rRNA from 1 species